rnacentral:rRNA from 1 species
AACGCGAAGAACCUUACCAGUUCUGGACAUCUUUGGACCCCUUAAGAAAUAGAGCUUCCCCUUCGGGGCCAAAGUGCCAGGUGGUCCAUGGUUGUCUUCAGCUCGUGUCGUGAGAUGUUGGGUUAAGUCCCCCAACGAGCCCAACCCUUAUUUUUAGUUGCCAUCAUUUAGUUGGCCACUCUAGCGAGACUCCCGGUGACAAACCGGAGGAAGGUGGGGAUGACGUCAAAUCAUCAUGCCCCUUAUGACCUGGGCUACNCACGUGCUCCAAUGGGAAGUACAACGAGUUGGGAAGUCGCGAGGUUAAGCUAAUUUCUUAAAGCUUCUCUCAGUUCGGAUUGUAGGCUGCAAUUCGCCUCCAUGAAGCCGGAAUCGUUAGUAAUCGCGGAUCACCACGCCGCGGUGAAUACGUUCCCGGGCCUUGUACACACCG